GCGGGUGUAGUUCAGAGGCAGAACAUUAGCUUCCCAAGCUAAGAACGCGGGUUCGAUUCCCGUCACCCGCUCCA
rnacentral:tRNA from 1 species